rnacentral:rRNA from 1 species
UACGGAGGGGGCAAGCGUUGUUCGGAAUUACUGGGCGUAAAGGGUUCGUAGGCGGCCAACUAAGUCAGACGUGAAAUCCCUCAGCUUAACUGGGGAACUGCGUCUGAGACUGGAUGGCUUGAGUGCAGGAGAGGAACGCGGAAUUCCAGGUGUAGCGGUGAAAUGCGUAGAUAUCUGGAGGAACACCGGUGGCGAAGGCGGCGUUCUGGACUGCUACUGACACUGAGGAACGAAAGCCAGGGGAGCAAACGGG